rnacentral:tRNA from 1 species
GCGGAAUUGGUUUAGUGGUAGAACGCGACCUUCCCAAGGUUGAGACACGGGUUCGAUUCCCGUAUUCCGCA